rnacentral:siRNA from 1 species
UGGGGAAUGUGUGGUCGAGUUCAA